CGCGGUAAUUCCAGCUCCAAUAGCGUAUAUUAAAGUUGUUGCCGUUAAAAAGCUCGUAGUUGAACCUUGGACCUGGCUGAUCUGUCCUCCUAAUCGAGCGUACGGAUUCGGUCGGGUCUUUCCUUCUGGGGAGCCCUAUGUCCUUUACUGGUCGUAGCGGGGAACCAGGACUUUUACCUUGAAAAAAUUAGAGUGUUCAAAGCAGGCCUUUGCUCGAAUACAUUAGCAUGGAAUAAUAGAAUAGGACAUCGGUUCUAUUUUGUUGGUUUCUAGGACCGCUGUAAUGAUUAAUAGGGAUAGUCGGGGGCGUCCGUAUUCAAUUGUCAGAGGUGAAAUUCUUGGAUUUAUUGAAGACGAACUACUGCGAAAGCAUUCGCCAAGGAUGUU
rnacentral:rRNA from 1 species